rnacentral:rRNA from 1 species
AUGCACGCUGGCGGCGUGCCUCAUACAUGCCAGUCGCGCGAACAGACGAGGAGCUUGCUCCUCUGACGUUAGCGGCGGACGGGUGAGUAACACGUGGAUAACCUACCUAUAAGACUGGGAUAACUUCGGGAAACCGGAGCUAAUACCGGAUAAUAUAUUGAACCGCAUGGUUCAAUAGUGAAAGACGGUUUUGCUGUCACUUAUAGAUGGAUCCGCGCCGCAUUAGCUAGUUGGUAAGGUAACGGCUUACCAAGGCGACGAUGCGUAGCCGACCUGAGAGGGUGAUCGGCCACACUGGAACUGAGACACGGUCCAGACUCCUACGGGAGGCAGCAGUAGGGAAUCUUCCGCAAUGGGCGAAAGCCUGACGGAGCAACGCCGCGUGAGUGAUGAAGGUCUUCGGAUCGUAAAACUCUGUUAUUAGGGAAGAACAAAUGUGUAAGUAACUAUGCACGUCUUGACGGUACCUAAUCAGAAAGCCACGGCUAACUACGUA